rnacentral:rRNA from 1 species
CCUACGGUGGGCAGCAGUGAGGAAUAUUGGUCAAUGGCCGAGAGGCUGAACCAGCCAAGUCGCGUGAGGGAAGACGGCCCUACGGGUUGUAAACCUCUUUUGUCGGGGAGCAAAGCGAACCACGUGUGGUUCAUUGAGAGUACCCGAAGAAAAAGCAUCGGCUAACUCCGUGCCAGCAGCCGCGGUAAUACGGAGGAUGCGAGCGUUAUCCGGAUUUAUUGGGUUUAAAGGGUGCGCAGGCGGAGGUGCAAGUCAGCGGUCAAAUUGCGGGGCUCAACCCCGUACUGCCGUUGAAACUGCAUCCCUUGAGUGCGCGAGAAGUAUGCGGAAUGCGUGGUGUAGCGGUGAAAUGCAUAGAUAUCAGGAGGAACACCGGUGGCGAAGGCGGCCUACUGGACUGCGACUGACGUUGAGGCCCGAAAGCGUGGGGAGCAAACAGGAUUAGAUACCCGAGUAGUC